ensembl:lncRNA
GCUGCCAGGGCUGCAGCAGCCUGGGAGGGGGGCUGUGAUGGAUGGGAGGGAGUUAGUUAAUAGAGCCCCAAACACAUGAGCCCUGUCCCCACACCGACCCUCCCCCUCACACACACACACACACACACACACACACACACACACACACACACACACUUUUGCAGCUUCCUCUGACAGCUGCCCUGGCCUUCUGAAAUAGCCCUAUGGAAUAUUCCUCGCUUCCGUCUCCCUCUAAGCUGUGCUGAAAAGCUGUUUUUUUGGACACUGGCAAGAGUCAUUGCUGCCCACCCCAUCCCCAACCUCUGCCAACAUAAGUCCCCGUGUGGGUCCUGGGCAAAGACGGCUCAAGACAGUGUUAAAAGAUGAGCUUGACUCAGCUAAUAUUGGCAUCUCAUCGAGGUAUUUUCUUUUCCUUAGUUCCUUAAAUCUCUGUUUUUCAGUUCUACCUCUCUUCUUAUCCUGGGCUGCCCUUGUGGCUCAGCUGGUCAAGAAUCCGCCUGCAAUGUGGGACACCUAGGUUCGAUCCUUGGGUCAGGAAGAUGUCCUGGAGAAGGGAAAGGCUACCCACUCCAGUAUUCUGGCCUGGAGAAUUCCAAGGACUGUAUAGUCCAUGAGGUCGCAAAGAGUCGGAGACGACUGAGCGACUUUCACCUCACUUGAUUUCUCUUCCUACCCACUUCCCAAUCAAUUCUUUAGUUAGAGGCUGAGCUAGAGCACAGCCCCAGAGAUGAGGCAGGCGUCUACAGACCAGAGCCCUUCGCUCUGUUGGAGCCGUCUGUCUUGGCCUCGGCAUCCCAUCAGGGCUGUCCUGAUGGCUCAGUGGUAAAGAAUCUGCCUGCCAAUGUAGGAGACACAAGUUCAAUCCCUGAUCUGGGAAGAUCCCGUAUGCCUUGGAGCAACUAAGCCAGCAAGCCCAAACUACCAAGCCCACAUGUUGCAGCUACUAUAGCCCAGGCUCUGCAACUAGAGAAGCUACCGCAACGAGAAGCCGGAGCACCGCAACUAGAGAGUAGCUCCUGCUUGCUAUAACGAGAGAAAAGCCUGUGCAGCGAGUAAGACUCGGCACAGCCAAAGAU